AGUGAACGCUGGCGGUAGGCCUAACACAUGCCAGUCGAACGGCAGCACAGUAAGAGCUUGCUCUUACGGGUGGCGAGUGGCGGACGGGUGAGGAAUACAUCGGAAUCUUCUUUUUCGUGGGGGAUAACGUAGGGAAACUUACGCUAAUACCGCAUACGACCUACGGGUGAAAGCAGGGGAUCUUCGGACCUUGCGCGAUUGAAUGAGCCGAUGUCGGAUUAGCUAGUUGGCGGGGUAAAGGCCCACCAAGGCGACGAUCCGUAGCUGGUCUGAGAGGAUGAUCAGCCACACUGGAACUGAGACACGGUCCAGACUCCUACGGGAGGCAGCAGUGGGGAAUAUUGGGCAAUGGGCGCAAGCCUGAUCCAGCCAUACCGCGUGGGUGAAGAAGGCCUUCGGGUUGUAAAGCCCUUUUGUUGGGAAAGAAAAGCAGCAGGUUAAUACCCCGCUGUUCUGACGGUACCCAAAGAAUAAGCACCGGCUAACUUCGUG
rnacentral:rRNA from 1 species